rnacentral:rRNA from 1 species
UUGGGAAUCUUGCACAAUGGGGGAAACCCUGAUGCAGCGACGCCGCGUGGAGGAUGAAGGAUUUAGGUCUGUAAACUCCUUUUAUCGGGAAAGACUUAGGACGGUACCCGAUGAAUAAGCACCGGCUAACUACGUGCCAGCAGCCGCGGUAAGACGUAGGGUGCAAGCGUUGUCCGGAUUUACUGGGCGUAAAGAGCGCGUAGGCGGUCUGUUAAGUGUGAAGUGAAAUCUCCAGGGCUCAACCCGGAAA